AAUCAAAUUUUGUAACGCCCUAAA
rnacentral:siRNA from 1 species